rnacentral:rRNA from 1 species
AACGAACGCUGGCGGCGUGCUUAAGACAUGCAAGUCGUGCGAGAAAGUUCCUUCGGGAGCGAGUAAAGCGGCGCACGGGUGAGUAACGCGUGGGUAAUCUGCCCGAUGGACUGGGAUAACCCCGGGAAACUGGAGCUAAUACCAGAUAAGACCACGGAGUCUACGGACUUCGGCGGAAAAAGGGUGGCCUCUGCUUGCAAGCUACUACCAACGGAUGAGCCUGCGUCCCAUUAGCAGUUGGCGGGGUAACGGCCCACCAAGGCGAAGAUGGGUAGCUGGUCUGAGAGGGACGACCAGCCACACUGGAACUGAGACACGGUCCAGGCUCCGUAC